UUCCUACUGUUAUUUAUCAGGUCCGUCGAAUUCAAUGCGUUAAUCAUUUUAAUCUGUAAUGUGUAGGAGUCCAAUAACGUUUUUUUUACACCGCAGUAUGGCGGUCCUUCCCAUUUAUAUGUCAGCCUGCCGUAGCUGCUGUGCGCGCGCAGCCACCAUUUCUCGAAUGCAAGACAGUGACAGACUGUUUAGGUUGUCAUGAUCGCUCAUUGUUGGUCAAGCGAAGUUUACACUGUGUUGUUGAUUUUGAACAUUCUCCUGCAGAGAUUUUUUUUUUUAAAUGGAGGUCCGUGACUCCAGAUACUCGUCACGAUUUCCCAUACCAAAAACUCAGGAAAAUCAGGAAAACAUUUUUUUAAAUGAACUUCCAAGAAAUAAAUCUGUAGGCCCUUAAAAGCCAGUGCAUUGUCGCCAGUGUUUUUUUAGCAGUUCUGCAAAUUCUGCAACAUUGCUGUGGCAGCUAGUGUGAACUGUAUAUUUGCCAUUACUAUUUUAAAAUGUAUUAAUUCAUUUGGAACAGGACUUAGAUCUGAAUAAAUGCUGUGUUGGUACCUUUUGGUGUUGUAAUGUUUUUUUCUUUUUUGUAAUAUAUUGUUUUUUUUCCCACCAGGAAAGAUGCAAGCUGUGCGUGAACAUGUGGAAUGCCAAAAGAAAAAAUAUUUUGAAGUUCAGCUGACCUACAAAUCCUUUUGGGAAUGCGGUGAGUGGAAACAUCACAAUUUCCAGCAUUUUUCUUUACAGGAAUCAGUCAAGUUUGGAUAAACUGUCAGCUGUAAUGCAAACAGAUUUUUUUAAUUGCUUUUUAAUUUAAAGAUAAUUUCUGUGCUGUAUUCUAAACAUAAUUUUGCGGUGUUCACAGCUGCCAAAAAGUUCAACAUCCCAACCUUGGACUUGAAAGUGUUUGAUGACUCAAAGACAGAAGUUGAUGAGCAGGUUUUUGAUCUCCUGUUGAAAAACCCAAACCUUGGUGUGUUGGAAAGUUGUCUGGCCGAAGAUACAAAUCCAGAAGAUCAGCCGAGUUGUCCUGCAAAGAGCUGCAAUACCAGUUCAAGUGGAGAUACUGAAGUGGACUCAGAUGACACCAUAAUAUUAAAAACACAAUCCUACAACAAGACGAAGACUUGAAGACACCUCUCUUUCCAAAGUGGUUGCUGUCAUUAGCCGCGGUUACAUGGGC